GAUUGGAUGAACUGUUCAAAAGAGUAGUUAUUGGUCCAAAAGGCUGAACCUGUUUGGACUGACAGCGAUGUUGAAACAUACUGGCAUCGGAGCACGUUGGAGAUCAGUCCCAUGGGAUAUCAGUGGAAGAGAGGCCGUUUGACACAGGGUGCUACAG